rnacentral:rRNA from 1 species
AUUGAACGCUGGCGGCAUGCCUUACACAUGCAAGUCGAACGGUAACGGGCCUUCGGGUGCCGACGAGUGGCGAACGGGUGAGUAAUACAUCGGAACGUGCCCGAUCGUGGGGGAUAACGAGGCGAAAGCUUUGCUAAUACCGCAUACGAUCUACGGAUGAAAGCAGGGGACCGCAAGGCCUUGCGCGGACGGAGCGGCCGAUGGCAGAUUAGGUAGUUGGUGGGAUAAAAGCUUACCAAGCCGACGAUCUGUAGCUGGUCUGAGAGGAUGAUCAGCCACACUGGGACUGAGACACGGCCCAGACUCCUACGGGAGGCAGCAGUGGGGAAUUUUGGACAAUGGGCGCAAGCCUGAUCCAGCCAUGCCGCGUGCAGGAUGAAGGCCUUCGGGUUGUAAACUGCUUUUGUACGGAACGAAAAGCCUUCUUUUAAUACAGGAGGGACAUGACGGUACCGUAAGAAUAAGCACCGGCUAACUACGUG